rnacentral:rRNA from 1 species
GACGAGGGGUCCUAGCGUUGUUCGGAAUCAUUGGGCGUAAAGCGUAGGUAGGCGGCUUUCUAAGUCAGGUGUGAAAUCCCCGGGCUCAACCCGGGAAGUGCAUUUGAUACUGGAUAGCUUGAGUAUUGGAGAGGAUAGUGGAAUUCCUGGUGUAGUGGUGAAAUACGUAGAUAUCAGGAGGAACACCGGUGGCGAAGGCGGCUAUCUGGCCAUAUACUGACGCUGAGCUACGAAAGCGUGGGGAGCAAACAGG